UACGUAGGUGGCAAGCGUUGUCCGGAUUUAUUGGGCGUAAAGCGAGCGCAGGCGGAGAAAUAAGUCUGAUGUGAAAGCCCUCGGCUUAACCGGGGAAUUGCAUCGGAAACUGUUUUUCUUGAGUGCAGAAGAGGAGAGUGGAACUCCAUGUGUAGCGGUGGAAUGCGUAGAUAUAUGGAGGAACACCAGUGGCGAAGGCGGCUCUCUGGUCUGUAACUGACGCUGAGGCUCGAAAGCAUGGGUAGCGAAC
rnacentral:rRNA from 1 species